UACCAGCACCCCGAGUGGUCGGGACGUUUUAUUGGGCCUAAAGCAUCCGUAGCCGGUUCUACAAGUCUUCCGUUAAAUCCAACUGCUUAACAGGUGGGCUGCGGAAGAUACUAUAGAGCUAGGAGGCGGGAGAGGCAAGCGGUACUCGAUGGGUAGGGGUAAAAUCCGUUGAUCCAUUGAAGACCACCAGUGGCGAAGGCGGCUUGCCAGAACGCGCUCGACGGUGAGGGAUGAAAGCUGGGGGAGCAAAGCCGGG
rnacentral:rRNA from 1 species